UCUUCAAAACCCAAGGGAAUAAAAACCAAACUACACACCGCAUGGGUACCACCCACACCCGCAAACACACAAACCAGCAGGGAUGACAUGUCUGUUUAAACCAAUCACUCAACAUGUACUGAAAUCAAAUCCAAUUAGCCAGCUGCCACUUCUCCACAGGAAGGGUACACGGAAGGCAUUCUCUACCUGGCCGGCUGAAAUGGCUGCCUGGAAUUUUACCAGGUUUACAGAAUCGAAAGCAACGCAAUGCGGUUCGGAGAACGCAGGACGAGGAAAUGUGGUUCUCUCUCUCUCUCUACAUUGAGCGGGUGGGAUGGCUCACAGGUUUUAUAACGUGUACGCAUCUAUUCUUCACGAAAAAAAAGUAUACGUACGCCAAACGUUUGCCCGGCACAAGGAUGCUUCUCUCCCGGCUGCAAAAUCCAACCAGGUGCCCUCACUCCUCAAGCAAAGACUGUUUUAUGUUUCAAACUCCUGUUACCUUGCGCAUCUCCUCCGCUGGUCAGGACGCCGAUGGCUCUACCACUUCCCGAAAGAUCCUCCAAUAAUUUCUUGUCUGAUUGCAACACGUCCUCGCUGGCAGACUGCAUCCUCGCAUGUAUUUGAUCUUUUUUGCUAAAUUAAAAACUAAAAUGACAAAAAAAACUCUUUUUCUUUAAAGGUUCUGACUCUUUUCUAAGGGAGCGUGUGAGA